GACGUAGGGUGCGAGCGUUGUCCGGAUUUAUUGGGCGUAAAGAGCUCGUAGGCGGCUCGUCGCGUCGACCGUGAAAACCCGCGGCUUAACUGCGGGCUUGCGGUUGAUACGGGCGGGCUAGAGUUCGGUAGGGGAGACUGGAAUUCCUGGUGUAGCGGUGAAAUGCGCAGAUAUCAGGAGGAACACCGGUGGUGAAGGCGGGUCUCUGGGCCGAUACUGACGCUGAGGAGCGAAAGCGUGGGGAGCGAACAGG
rnacentral:rRNA from 1 species